rnacentral:rRNA from 1 species
CCCCUAGAUGUUCUGGGCCGCACGCGCGCUACACUGAACAGUUCAACAAGUCUUAACCUUGGCCGAUAGGUCUGGGUAAUCUUUGAACGCUGUUCGUGAUUGGGAUAGACCUUUGCAAUUAUGGGUCUUCAACGAGGAAUUCCUAGUAAACGCAAGUCAUCAGCUUGCAUUGAUUACGUCCCUGCCCUUUGUACACACCGCCCGUCGCACCUACCGAUUGAAUGGUCCGGUGAAAUCUCGGGACGGCGGCUUGGUCGCUUGCGUCCGACUGCUGAAACUUGAUUAAACCAUAUCAUAUAGAGGAAGGUGAAGUCGUAACA